rnacentral:tRNA from 1 species
GCGAGCGUGGUGGAACUGGUAGACACGCAAGAUUUAGGUUCUUGUGUCGCAAGGCGUGGGGGUUCAAGUCCCUCCGCUCGCA